ensembl:lncRNA
UUGAGGGCGGGGACGGGGUGGGGUGGGGGGUUCGGGGAGUGGGGCGUGGGCUGAGCACAGCCUGGUUUUCCCUGCGUUGCAGCUCUUGGUGCGCAAUCCCAAGCAGGUAGGAGCCAGGCCUCCCCGGACCCAGAGGCUCUGAGGGUGGCCCCCCAGAGGCAGCACCAGUAGCACCUGGGACCUGUUAAAGAUGCAGAAUCCCGGGCCCCACCCCAGACUCACCGGAUCAGAAAGCCUGGGGUGGAGCUCAGCGGCCUGUGUUGCGACAAGUGUGGGAACGGCUCCCCGGAAGACGAGACCCGAGACCCGGAAGACGAGACUCGAGACCCGGGGUCAGGUGGCUCCGGCUGCGCUCACAGCCUUGGCCAAAUGCAGGAGGGUCCCCGGGAGCCGGCUCAGCGCGCCCCUCCCAGCCCAUCGGUAAGUUCACCUGGAACUCGGUGAAGCCUCCGCGCUCCCUCCAAGACACAGCUGUUUCUUAAGAUGAGCCACGUGGCAAUCGUGACCGGGCUCCUAUUGGAGGAACGAACGUUCAAGAAGUUGGCCACGUGUCUCUGAGAAAAAAGCAGGAAAAAGCGAGUCAGUGGCGGCAGGAAGCACUUAGAAGGGACUGCGGGGGGCCGAGCGCAGAGGGACUGGAGAGGGGGGCACGGCGGGAAACACCGCAGAGACGGGCGCGCAGCUCCGAACGGCAGGGAUGGGAAACGUGCGUUCCACCUCCAGCCGGCAGGUACGCACAUGCACGCACGCACGGGCACACACACGCAGCACACAUACGCGCACACGCACACCAACGCACGCACACACAGGCGCAUGCGCACACAUGAUCGCGCGUGCGCACACAUGCUCACUCGUGCAGAUGUGCACGCACAUGCACGCACGCUCGCACAUGGACACGCACACGCACAAGGCUGGCGGUACUACGUAUCUUGAGGCUGGCAUCAGUGACAGCUCGUUCAUUCAUUUGUACACAUUGGUUGAGCUGAAUGAAUGAACUUGGGAUUUCUGCGCUUACUGAGCAUAACUUAUGCCUCUAUCUUUCUACGAACAGUGACAAGAAUAAGUAUGUUAUGCUUUCCAGGUCUGCACGUUUGCCAAAAAAAAAACCAAAAAACAAAAAACAAAAAACAGCUGAGAAGCGGAUCUUUGAUGAACCGGCAAGGACACAGCAGACUCGCAGGGGCCCCCGCAGGUACCACGGGAAGCGGGGAGCGCCAGCUGUGACCUUCGGAAGCCCGGCAGGAAGACCUCGCAACCAACCGGCAGCCGCUGCGUCUGCAGGAGCACAUGACCUGAGCUGCAUGGAUUCAUAUGAAGCAGCCGAUGUGUGGGCAGCUUUCUGGAGUCCCUGUGAAAAUAGCAACAAUGUGAUAGCUUUUGGAAGAACAGGCCUCCUUCCCGAUUUCUGUUGCUAAUCCUUGUCAUCGGAAUUGAAAAAUCGGAAGCACAGCAGAACACUGUGUGUGCCUCUAAGAUACUCCUUUUCAUCAAGCAGGGUUUUCACAGGACCCCUUCCAUCAGAGCGAGACCUCUCAGGAUGCGGAUCCUGCUGGAGUAAGCAUCCCACAGCACAUCUCCAUCUCACAGCCAUCCAGAGGAGGAGGGGGGCCCCAGGCUGCAAGCGGCAGGACCUGCUCCUGGCCUCGUCCCCUGCAGAACAGACCUGCUCAAGUAUCACUUGGCAGUCAGGGGCAACUGAAAAUUGGACCCCUUGUUUUGCAAUCCCUGACGUUUUGUUGGAGAUUAACUGAGGUGUCGGUUUCUUGGUGAUAGCAGGGGUGAUUUGGAGGACAGCUGAGACCCAUGAAAGGAACCAUUGUUCAAAAUCUGAGUGAGUAACAAUCACCAUUGUCCUUCUCUGCAGACCCAUCUUUUCUUAAAUACACAAGGUUGCCUGGACUCCUGUGGGGACUUUGAGAACCGAUCAGGCCACGUUGGGCAGUGUGCAUUGGGGUGGGGGAUCCACAUUUGCUGUCUCGUCAGUGGAUCCCAGUUAAGCCAAAUGUUAAGAGUCGUUCUGGAGAUGAAGGCCUGAGACUCAGGCAUUCGUGCUUCAGCCCCUUUUGGUCUGAUUAGACCCAGACUCUUG